GCUGGGUGUGGUGGUGCAUGCCUGUAAUCCCAGCUACUUGGGAGGCUGAGGCAGGAGAAUUGCUUGAACCUGGGAGGCAGAGGUUGCAGUGAGCUGAGAUUGCGCCACUGCACUCCAGCCUGGGUGACAGAGUGAGACCCUGUCUCAA
ensembl:misc_RNA Metazoa_SRP Metazoan signal recognition particle RNA